rnacentral:rRNA from 1 species
AGCUAAGAAUCUUCCGCAAUGGGCGAAAGCCUGACGGAGCGACGCCGCGUGAGCGAAGAAGGCCGUGAGGUUGUAAAGUUCUUUUCGGGAGGGGGAAUGACCGUGGCAGGGAAUGGCCGCGGGAUGACGUGAAUCCCGGAACAAGCCCCGGCUAACUACGUGCCAGCAGCCGCGGUAACACGUAGGGGGCGAGCGUUGUUCGGAAUCAUUGGGCGUAAAGGGCGUGCAGGCGGCACUGCAAGUCCGGCGUGAAAGACCCCGGCCCAACCGGGGGGGUGCGCUGGAAACUGCGGUGCUUGAGUACAGGAGGGGAUGCCGGAAUUCCAGGUGUAGGGGUGAAAUCUGUAGAUAUCUGGAAGAACACCGAUGGCGAAGGCAGGCAUCUGGCCAUGUACUGACGCUGAGACGCGAAGGUGCGGGGAGCAAACAGGUUUAGAUACCCUGGUAGUCCGCACAGUAAACGAUGUGCACCAGGUGGCGGGGGUAGAACCCCCGGUACCGUAGCAAACGCAUUAAGUGCACCGCCUGGGGAGUAUGCUCGCAAGGGUG